rnacentral:sRNA from 1 species
UCUCACUCGGAAGCUGUACACUUGGUGGGUAAGGGUGACCUCCUUGUUAGAGGAGGACUGGUCUUUGGUCAAGGGUGUACCAGUGGCUGCACUCCCCUGCUAGAAACUCCAAAGAAGCUCUCAAGGAAAAAAAAAUAACACAAAACAAAUAAGAC